GGAGGGGUGGCCGAGCGGUUUAAGGCGCACGCCUGGAAAGCGUGUUGAGGUUAACGCCUCUCCGGGGUUCGAAUCCCCGUCCCUCCGCCA
rnacentral:tRNA from 2 species